rnacentral:rRNA from 1 species
AACGAACGCUGGCGGCAGGCCUAACACAUGCAAGUCGAGCGCAGUCCUUCGGGACCGAGCGGCGGACGGGUUAGUAACGCGUGGGAACGUACCCUUUUCUAAGGAAUAGCCUCGGGAAACUGAGAGUAAUACCUUAUACGCCCUUAGGGGAAAGAUUUAUCGGAGAAGGAUCGGCCCGCGUUAGAUUAGGUAGUUGGUGGGGUAAUGGCCUACCAAGCCUACGAUCUAUAGCUGGUUUGAGAGGAUGAUCAGCCACACUGGGACUGAGACACGGCCCAG